rnacentral:tRNA from 1 species
UUCUGGUUAGCUCAGUUGGUAGAGUGUUCCACUGAAAUUGUAGAGGUCCCCGGUUCGAUACCCGGACCAGGCG